rnacentral:tRNA from 1 species
GAGGUCGCGGUCGCCGAGGACGUCGAGGACGAUCUCGCGCAGCGUCGGGGACGCGCCGGGUUCGAGUCCGGCGAUCUCGC